ACGUGUAAAAUACAGGUAAAAUACGGGUUGAAACGGUUUCAAGCAAUUUAAUGCGGACGGUCAACGCCAGUUAUCCGUCUGGAUACAACUGUGUGCAAACACCUGAUAAAGGACACCGUUUGGGGAUCAAGGAUGAGCUUCGGACAGAUUGAUGGAGUCUGAUCCGCUGAAGGUGAACGGAGGCCUGAGUGAUAGACCCAGAACCUUUCAUCUCACCCAGUGAGUGUAAAUAGCUGUCAUGUUUGAUUGGCGGGCUGACGUGCACAUGUGAUUCCCUGGAAGAGGGGAAGAAAUUCAGUGAGGACGCGGAGCAUGGCGGAUCGGCUGUCUCCAAACUAAAGAGUACCUCUGUGGAUCCCCUAGGAGUUGCGGAGCUAUGAAGACCUAUGAAAUAAGGGAACAGAAACUGGCAAACUCAUCACAUCGCAGAUUAAGCUAAUCCAACUAAGAUACCAAGCUGGACUGGGAUGGCACGUUUGCCCAAAGACAACAGGCUUGACUGAUCUCAACAAUCACAUUAUGCAAUAAUUUGACUAUAUUUAUAUUUAUGACCGUAACCUGACUUCCGCAGACAAUGGUAGGAUGCCUGGCCUGUCCCCAGUUAAAUUUGAAGUCUUUGGAUGUGUCCAGUUGCGUCUAAAAGCAGUUGUACUUAACAGUGGGAAACCUUUCCAAUGUCUUGUUUUUCUUUUUUUCCAAACGCAUUACUUUGCAUUUGGUCCUCUGACUUACCCGUGUGAAUUUGUAUGAACCAGAGGGAAAGAAUCCCAAGAAUAACAUGAAAAACCCUCAAGUGAUUAUCUCUCUUAGAGAAAAAUCUAAAUAACAAGAGAGACAGUGUGCCGUAGCUGCAAUGAAAUGAUUGGAGUUGAUGCAUGACAAAAAUGAUGAUAACAGUAGGAAUUAUCUGAUAAUACCUGGGUCUAUUGUCUGCUGUAUGUAGGAAAUUUAAUUGAGUGUUGCAGAAGCCUAACAAAAGGACAGAGAGACACACAGCCCUCCAAGGCAUGACAUUGUUUUUGACUUGGCAAAGUGCUGAGCUCAACAGCAGACCACUAACAAGGAGACAAUCACCCCUGAAGGAAGGAUGCAUACACAGAAUGGCAGGAGGACUCUUCUUUAAAGGGAAAGUGGAAAGCACUCGAUGUCUAAUACUCCCGUGGUUAGUUCCUCAGUCAUAACAAAGGUCUGCCGGACGGUAAUUUUCAUAUUCUGUUUCCCCCGCUUCAUUUCUUAUUUGCACUGGGGCUCAGCAUCGACAUCAACAUUAAGAUUUCUCUUGAAUAUCAAUUAUUUAGCUUUUGCUUGGAGAUCAUUUUCAAAGCACUCAGUCAGAUGAAUAAGAAGUGUAUCAACGUGCUUUUAUCCAACAUUGAGAACAAACCAAUCUAAGGCAUUGAUGUUAUUUCUCUGCUUUGUUGUCUGAAUUGGAGCGCUGAUCCCCGAGACACAGUGGAGGUUUUGUUUUUAUCUUUGGAUUAAGGAAGCAUAGGCCUUUUUAAGAUUGGAGAAUGAUCUCGCAGGGGUCAAAUAACAGAUUAAUAGGUCCAGUAAUGAGCUCCCUGGAGUGUCCAAGUCUCUCCGACUUCCCCAACCUCCAUUAUGUCCUUUUAUGAUGGAUGGCGGCAAACAUCAUUCACACAUCUCAAAGAAAAAUUACCAGGAUGCCAUUUGUGUGAAGGAGAAACAUCAGCUGUAGUGAUAUAUCGUUCUGGUAUGAUGUUCUCUUUUGUAUCUUUGUUUGUCAUCCAUGCUUUAACUGUCACUGCUGUCUCCUUUUGUUUGGUCUCCUCACACAGCAGCAAUGUUAACACGCCGCUCUGGGUUUCUUGAAGGUGCUUAAAGGAACUUAGGUUUUAGAUCUGGUGAAUUUGUUGGCUUUGAUCCAAUCACCCUCUUGAUGCUCAGACCACACACAUGAAAAUAUGAAUGACAAGACAUACUUCUUUCUUCACAGCAAGACAUGUACUGCUAAAUCAGUACAAAUCAGUCAAAGGUGGUUAAAAUCUACACAACAUUGCGACUUACUCAUUUUAUUUUAGACGUACACUGUCUGGAAAUUGCCUUUUGAACGCAAUUACAUAGCAACUAAAAAUAUAUUUGGACGGAAACAAUCUUGCAAUCUGGUUAUGUAACAUAUUUAUUGCCUGUCAGAAUAUCUAGUUAUAGAGAGUACAGUAUUAAAGGUAAAGUUUGCUAUAAUACAAGUUGAACUGCCUCUAAUGCAUUUCUUAACUUUUAAUAAAAAAAAAAAAAAAAAACACACAAUUGUUCCUUUGCUUUUACCUAAUCAUUUGCAGGACUAUAGAUGCUAAACUUGUCUAGUGUGAACUAGGGGUGGGUAUUGGCAAGGACUUCACGAUAUGAUACCUAUCACAAUACUUGAGUCACAAUACGAUACAUUAUUGUGAUAUUAUGAUAUUGUGAUAUUCUGCAUAGAUCACUGAGACAUUGUAAAUGCAGCAUAACAUAUAAGUCAUAUAUUAAGUAUAAAGUAUACAGUGAUAAUUUAUUGGAAAUGGAAUUGUGUCAAAAAACAAUAUUAAUCCAACUGAUCCAUUUCCAAUUUAUUGCACUUGUACAGAAAGAGUGGUGGUGGAGGUGCGGAAGUCAUUCACAAUGAACCCAAAACGUGACUUUUUCUUUUAAAAUCGAUGUUAAGAUAUUCAAAGUCGAUAUUGUACCGGAAGAAAGAUUAUCGCGAUAUAUUGCCAUAUCGAUAUUUUUUCCACCUAUAGUGUGAACGCAGUCGAUUUGUCCGUCCACCCCAAUCAC